GAUGGGAGCGAGGCGGGGAGAGACCACGGCAGUCGGUGUCGGGAGCCGGGCGGGUCAGGUUCGCUGCGGAUACAGCGUCAGCAGGAGCUCAGUCGGACACAGCGGGAGACCCGUCAGCAUCACUGCAUCGGUCACCGAUCAUCGGACCACGCACCGUGCCAGGUGGCUCCGUUCGGUGGGACCAAUAAUGGCAGGCCCAGGGCGGCUUUUGAGCCAUGCUAUCGGUAUUGCUGUGCUCGCGUCGGUGUUGGCGCAAGGUGAUGAUCGGUUUCGGGACCGCCCCAUUCUACCAUACCACGAGG